GGUUGGUUGGUGUAGUUGGUUAUCACAUCUGUCUCACACACAGGAGGUCACCAGUUCGAGCCUGGUAUCAAUCA